AUAACCAUUCUUGGCCAAAAACCUACAGAGAUGACAUUCAUCAAGAAUGCUGGACAAAAGUGACAAUCAUCUAACAUAACUACUCCAGACUCAAAAAACAACUCAAUGACUCCUAAAGCUAGGACUGGAACAGAUCUUCCAUCACCAACAUUUAGGAAUCGAUCGCCGUUCUUGAAUCUUCUGUUGGGAACCCGCCCAUGCCGCUGAUAUUUCAAAAAUUUUUCAGAUGGCAGCGGAAUCGGCAUGCACGGGUUCGACGUUCAUCGCAUGAACGUUGUUUCGAGACCUUUCGUAAUUAGGUAAGAAUUAAAACUUUUAAAACUAUUAGGA
rnacentral:lncRNA from 1 species